AGUUCGAUGGUCUAAUGGUUAUGAUAUCUCGUUCACAUACUGUGAAUUCACUCCUGAACUCAGUUCUGGACCGAGAUGGUUCCGGGUUCGAGACCCGGUCGGACUA